CCUUUAAGCUUAGUCUUUAAAGCCACCCCUGCUCAAUGAUCCCAUUAAAUAGCUGCAGGAGACUGUACUAAGGUAGCAUAAUCACUUGGCCUUUAAUUCAGGUCUAGAAUGAUAGGUGAAAUGAGGGAGAUCCUUUCUUAGUCUUAAUUGAUGAAAUUAAACUCUAGGUUAGAAUACCUAGAUCCCCUUUAGGGACGAGAAGACCCUAUGAAGCUUUUUAAGUCACAAUUACUACUUAACUUAAGACUUAUUUUAGUUGGGGUAACAGAGUAAGAAGAAAAGCUUACUUUAGAUCCAAGAUUCUUGAUCAUUAGAAUAAGUUACUCUAGGGAUAACAGCAUAAUAAAAGAAGUUAAGCCCGAAUUGAUUUCUUUGCUUAUGACCUCGAUGUUGGAUUAAUGUUUCUCUUAGGGGUAGCACCUUAAGAUGAGGGUCUGUUCGACCUUUAAAUCAUUACA
rnacentral:rRNA from 1 species